UGAAAGUGGCCGGAGCACCCCAAGCUUAUCCCUCUGCUCAGACAGCAGAUCUGCGUCCUCUCUCUACCAGCAGGCACCCAAACAUUUUCAUAUUCCAGAGACUGGAAUAAAAGAUAACAUCUAUAGGAAACCCCCCAUCUACCGACAGCAUGCCUCAAGAAUAUCCGAUGGCGAUGGGAGCUCCGAUCAAGACAGCAAGAAGCUAAAGUCCAGCUGGCUG